CCUACGGGCGGCAGCAGUGGGGAAUAUUGCACAAUGGGGGAAACCCUGAUGCAGCGACGCCGCGUGAGUGAAGAAGUCCUUCGGUAUGUAAAGCUCUAUUAGCAGGGAAGAAAAUGACCGUACCUGAAUAAGAAGCGCCGGCUAACCACGUGCCAGCAGCCGCGGUAAUACGUAGGGGGCAAGCGUUAUCCGGGUUUACUGGGUCGAAAGGGAGCGUAAAGGGCAGCACAAGUCCGGUGUGAAAUGCCGGGGGUUAAACCCGGAAGUGCUUUGGAAACUGGGCAGCUAGAGUAGAGGAGAGGUAAGUGGAAUGCCUAGUGUAGCGGUGAAAUGCGUAGAUAUUAGGAAGAACACCAAUGGCGAAGGCAGCUUACUGGACUGUAACUGACGUUGAGGCUCGAAAGCGUGGGGAGCAAACAGGAUUAGAUACCCUAGUAGUC
rnacentral:rRNA from 1 species